UGUAGACUUCAUCUCUCUCUUAUUGGCUUCAGCGUUCUUCGGUUGACUGUUGAUCCGUCCGACUACCCUUCGUCUCCGUCUCUUCCACUUCUCCGUUCUACGGAUUGGCUCCAUGUCCCACCACCACCUCCUCUGUUUGCUGCUGACCAGGUUGAGAAGGUCCAGCGUGGCUGCUGCCGCUCCUCGCCGCCACCGCCACCUACUGCUCGGGCUGACUCGAUUUGGCCUCCGGCUUUUGUAAUGAUACGAUGGUCUCGAAAUCUCCCGCGAGGGCUGUGACUUUGUUCCGCCUUGACGCCAGCUUGUGGGCCGCCUCCUCAUUUACAUCAUUGUAAGCACUUGGCGAAUCCUUCCUCCCGCUCAACGUCGCCUUCCUCUCCGACGCCACAUUCUUUUGCUCUGCCUUUGCCUUCCUCUCCGUUACCGCUCUCUCCUCACGCUCCUUAAAUUUGGGUUUCUCUUCUGCCACUGCCUCGUCUCCCUCGCCUCUACUCUCGCUCUCUGGCUGUAGCUUCAGCUUGGCUUCUCGGAUUCUUAUCAUCAGCAUUAUGGGCUUUGGGCUCUUUGUUCUCCUCCGAGCCCCCCGACUUUCUUCAUCCAUGCUCACUUUUGUCCGGUCUUGUGCCUCAUUGCCGAUGACCUUUUCCCCUCCUCCUUGGGGGUUGACUGCAGUGAUCAUGGAAGUGGCGGCAAGGGUUUCCCUCCUCUCCGACGUGGUCUUUGGAUGACCUAUGGCCUUCCCGAGUGGAAGACCAGCUUUCCCAACUGCCGGAGUCUCGGAUGCUUUCACCGAGCUUGGUUUCAGAGACAUGUUUCCUUUAGACGAUGACGGCUCGCUUUUUGUUGCCCUUUCCUUCGAGUUGCUUGCUGUGGGUGGUCUUUGAAGCAGGAAGGAUGGUGCUCGAUCCUUGUUUACAGGUGUUCGAGGUUUUGCAGCGGAACACUUGUUUCUGCUGCUUGGGGUCUCGGUAGUUGGUGGCAUGGCGCGAGCUCAUGGUCGGCUUAAGAU
rnacentral:lncRNA from 1 species